rnacentral:rRNA from 1 species
CCUGCAUGAAGCCGGAAUUGCUAGUAAUGGCAGGUCAGCAUACUGCCGUGAAUACGUUCCCGGGCCUUGUACACACCGCCCGUCACACCAUGAGAGUUGGGGAUACCCAAAGCCCGUGAGCCAACUUUUUAAGAGGCAGCGGUCUAAGGUAGAAUCAAUGAUUGGGGUGAAGUCGUAACAAGGUAUC